rnacentral:rRNA from 1 species
CACGCCGUAAACGAUGGAUACUAGGUGUAGGAGGUAUCGACCCCUUCUGUGCCGCAGUUAACACAAUAAGUAUCCCACCUGGGGAGUACGGCCGCAAGGUUGAAACUCAAAGGAAUUGACGGGGGCCCGCACAAGCAGUGGAGUAUGUGGUUUAAUUCGAAGCAACGCGAAGAACCUUACCAGGGCUUGACAUCCCCUUGACAGGCAUAGAGAUAUGCUUUCUCUUCGGAGCAAGGGAGACAGGUGG